CCCUUAGAGUUUGAUCCUGGCUCAGAACGAACGCUGGCGGCACGCCUAACACAUGCAAGUCGAAUGGGACUAUAGACUUCGGUCUAUAGUUUAGUGGCAGACGGGUGAGUAACACGUGGGAAACUACCCAACGGUGGGGAAUAACUGUGGGAAACCGCAGCUAAUACCGCAUACGCCCUUAGGGGGAAAGACUUCGGUCGCCGAUGGAAGUGCCCGCGCUAGGUUAGGUAGUUGGUAGGGUAAUGGCCUACCAAGCCUACGAUCUAUAGCUGGUCUGAGAGGAUGAUCAGCCACACUGGGACUGAGACACGGCCCAGACUCUUACGGGAGGCAGCAGUGGGGAAUCUUGGACAAUGGGGGAAACCCUGAUCCAGCGAUGCCGCGUGAGUGAAGAAGGCCUUAGGGUUGUAAAACUCUUUCAACGGGGAAGAUGAUGACGGUACCCGUAGAAGAAGCUCCGGCUAACUCCGUGCCAGCAGCCGCGGUAAUACGGAGGGAGCUAGCGUUGUUCGGAAUUACUGGGCGUAAAGGGCGCGUAGGCGGUUGUCUAAGUCUGAUGUGAAAGCCCUGGGCUUAACCCAGGAACUGCAUUUGAUACUGGACAACUAGAGGUAAGGAGAGGUGAGCGGAAUUCCUAGUGUAGAGGUGAAAUUCGUAGAUAUUAGGAAGAACACCGUUGGCGAAGGCGGCUCACUGGACUUAAUCUGACGCUAAAGCGCGAAAGCGUGGGGAACAAACAGGAUUAGAUACCCUGGUAGUCCACGCC
rnacentral:rRNA from 1 species